GUUAAGUGACGAUAGCCUAGGAGAUACACCUGUACCCAUGCCGAACACAGCAGUUAAGCCCUAGAACGCCGGAAGUAGUUGGGGGUUGCCCCCUGUGAGAUAUGGAA
rnacentral:rRNA from 1 species